GAGUACACAUAUAGCUACUGCACAAUGGAUGCCUUAACUGACGAUCGAUUAUCAUAGUGAACGAACAACUAUAAACUUUAAGAUAUUCAUUAACUUAGAGACGUAUUAAAAAAAAACAAAACAAAUAUAAGUUUGACAAAUGACAUUUACAUCUGUCAGUUUAUUUAGUUUGUUGACAAUAAAUUGAAAUAUCUUCAGGAAGAAUUAACGAUACGACAAUUUGAUUCCAGAAUAAGGAUCAGUUUUACUGCAAUAUCUAAGUAUUUAUUUAAUCUAAUAUAAAAUACUGAAAAACUUUGAAUAAUUUGUAACAUUAAAUGCUCAUAAUACAGUGGUUUCAUUAAUGUUAUUCAAACAUAGAGGACACGUGUAAAAACAGGUUAAAACACAAUGUAAUUUACACGCAACUGAAGAAUCGGGACUGGAAAUUGCCUUAAUAAUCGCAGAUCGGUAAUAUCUAUGAAGAAUUGUAUUCACUUUCUUGUUUUAAAUAUAUUGCAUAAAAAUAAAACGCACAAUCAAUAUGCACACAUUUAUCUUAUAAAUUAUUACGCACGAUUUAUUAUAAAUUAAAUUUGGGUUAUACUUAAAACAAUAAAAAUAAUCGAUAAUGACAACCGAUUAAAAUACUAGGGGAAUUUAUUAGGCAUAGGGUUGAACAAACAAGCUUUAUGCCUGUAUAUUUAGAUAUUUGUUUAACUUCUGAAUAACAGAAAAUAAUUCAUGCGAUUGUGGACACGAACCAACCCUACGUAACGCCCGACCUUUUCCUGUUGUUCUACCGACCUUUGCUAUAGCCAAUUAAACAUUUGUACGUUCGUGGAAUACAAAAUGGAAAC